AAACUGAGUCUAUGCGCCUUAUUCUGACUGGAGCCACCUGACAAUUAGUUAAACACACUUUUUAACAUUGUGCUCAGGCACAUCACAGCAAUCCACAACCAAAUCAGACCUUCAUCGCCAGGUUGAUAGACUGUUGUCUUUCCAUGUAGAGCCAUGUGUUGGGACGAAAGAUACUCUUUUCAUCUCGCGGGGAAAACAACAAACAAAACCUUUGGCUCCCACAGACAUACAAUGUGGGUCUAUUGUUCUUCCUUGCUAGACGCUUCAGUGCCAUUGAAAACACGACUAUGGGUCAGCAGUUAUUGUGUCCACUGCCCAGCGUUGGUACGCAUUCUCACCCUGUGUACGCCAACCUCUGCCCAGUCCUCACCAACUUGAACCAGGUUCCUUUCACACCGCCUUUGCCUGCUUAGAAACGUCUCGAAAGGUGUUGUAUACGUCAAACAUUUUUUCGAACGCCUGGUGACCUUUGACCUGCGCAGCUGCUUUGAGAUUCUACGGGAUUGCGCUCUGAAGAUGUCUUUAAAGAGGCGACUGCUGUCCAUGUUCUUGUGUUGCGUUUAUUGCGUUGCCUCGCUGUUCUGCCUAAACCCCAACCGCAACAACUGUGUUUCCGUAGGAGCCCGGAACCUGUUGACAGUGGUCCAGCAACUGUACCAGCGUGUUAUGAGAUUGUUGCGCACUACCCUGUGAUACUAAGCCUCCUGCCCCCUAACCAGCACCCAAUCUGGGACUCUAUCCUGGCCUAGCUUGGCCAGGCUAGCUUGCCCUGGUUCUCCAGAGAUGAGAUACAAGUCCUUAUCUGUCCUAACCAGAAAAAGAGAACAGUGUUCUUUAGUCAUGGAUUGUGGACAAUUCUUGAUCAUCUAAACAUGGUUGUGAGGAAGCUUUCGUGGGCCUGUUAUGCUGGAUGAGGACGAGGUGGCAUGACUGCAAACACCCUCGUUUCAACUGUAUUUCGGCUUUCGUUUGUGAACCUCUUCGUACGCUGGCUGACUGCUCUAUUUCAGCGAGGAAGAUGUUGUUGCCAUGGGGACAACGGCCCGUUACCGGUCUUUUGCUUAGCUAAGCGCCAGCUUACUUGGUAUUGCACAGGAGUGUACUUUUUGUGUGGAGGAGAUUUCAAUGCAAGCACAUUAUUUUUGCUGAAUUAAAAGGUGAUCUCAACUAAAGUAACAUUGAA